AUUGAACGCUGGCGGCAGGCCUAACACAUGCAAGUCGAGCGAGCAGCGGACGGGUGAGUAAUGUAUGGGGAUCUGCCUGAUGGAGGGGGCUAACUACUGGAAACGGUAGCUAAUACCGCAUACCAUCAGAUGAACCCAUAUGGGAUUAGCUUGUCGGUGGGGUAACGGCUCACCUAGGCGACGCUGCCUAGCUGGUCUGAGAGGAUGAUCAGCCACACUGGGACUUAGACACGGCCCAGACUCCUACGGGAGGCAGCAGUGGGGAAUAUUGCGCAAUGGGGGCAAGCCUGACGGAGCCAGGCCGCGUGUAUGAAGAAGGCUUUAGGGUUGUAAAGUACUUUCAGCGGGGAGGCGUUACCCGCAGAAGAAGCAACGGCUAACUCCGUGCCAGCCGCCGCGGUAAUUC
rnacentral:rRNA from 1 species